rnacentral:lncRNA from 1 species
UGGGGAAAAGAGGCAGAACUGAUUCAAAUUCUAGUUCAUUUCCAUAACCUGGGUGAAUUUGGUAAGCUCCCCAAUAUUGAAUAGCAUGAUUAUUUUUUACUGAGGAAAUCAUAAAAAUUCACGUCUAAUAAAUUGGUGGGUAAUAUAUAUGAAAGAUCUAGCUUAGCAAGUACCAAGCAGAGAACAGAUUCUCAGCAAAUAGUCUUUUAAUUUCAUAUUUGCACAUGUAAGGGUCAAUAAACAUUAUUAUUUAGAUGUUUAAAUUUGUACUAUUUUCUGCCUCCUUCAUGCCUGAUCAGAACCUCCAUCUUUUAUGUAAUGCUACACAUAUAUCAAUAAUUUAUGAUAGGGAGUUCAUGUUUUGGCUCAGUCGUAAUGAAUCUGACUAGUAUCCAUGAGGAUGCAGGUUCAAACCCGGCCUUGCUCAGUGGGCUGAGGAUCCAGAGUUGCCAUGAGCUGUGGGGUAGGUGACAGAUGUGGCUGGGAUCCUGCAUUGCUGUGAGUGUGGUGUAGGUUGGCAAGUGUGGCUCUGAUUGGAUCCUAGCCUGGGAACAUCCACAUGCCACAUGUAUGGCCCUAAAAAAGAAACAAAUUAUAUUGGCACCAGUUCAUGUGUGGUGGUAUGCUUAAUAACAAGCAGGCAAGUAAUAAUAUCAGACAGAAAGCUUUUUCUUAAGUAUAUGUUCAGGAAUUAUACUGUCAUAUAUGGUGGUCAACCGUUCAAACUACAUGAAAAUAUCAACUCCAUAGUGAUGUCAAUGUAAGUAGCAUCAUCUUCAAUACAGAUUUAUAUACUGCAAAUGUUCAGCUAUUGCAAUUUACAAACAUUGAGAGAAAAUUCACUAAUCCAAAAGAGGAAAGUGUUCCUGGUUAAAGAGGAUACAUUUUCUUGUGAUUUCAUAUUCACACAAUCUCUGGAACAAUUCAAAAUUGAGAAUCAAAUUGAAAUAUAUAGUUUACUUCCAUCAGAUGAUGUUGUUGAAGAGGGGACCAAUAUAUGAGAAUUUUGGAUAUGGGGGAGUUUUAAGAUAACAUCUUGGGAUUCCAGAAUUUUCCAAAAGUAUGUAAUGACUUUAAUUCCUUGAAUAUUUAGAAUUUAUUGAAAAUUGUAACUUAUUGUUCUCUGAAAAAUAGUUGCAAAUUGUAACUAAUUACACACUGACACAAUAAUGAUCUCCAAAGGUAUAUUUUAGUUCAUUUCAGAUGAAGCCUAGCAACUUAUAUUUUGGAAUACCAUUUACAUUUAGUUAUUUGAUUGACACACCAUCAUGUUUUAGUAAUUUAAUGUUAUAUAUGAAACCCCCAUUUUCUACCUUCUCAGUACUGUUGAUAUGGAAAAAAGUUUAAUCAGAUUCAAAUCAGUUAUCCAUAUGGGAUAGUAUUUGUUUCAUAAUGUUAUGAAAUCUUCUUCAUAAUUUUUUUGGUAACAUUUAUUACUUCCUUAUUUCUUAGGCUAUAAAUAAAAGGGUUUAAUAAAGGAAUCACGAGAGUAUAAAAAAUAGCAACAGGUACAUUUAUCUCCUUCAUUCCUGGAAUUUGGUCCAAUGUACAUGAAGAAAAGAGAACCAUAGAAUAUUGAGACAGAGAGAAAGUGGGAUGCACAGGUAGAUAAGGCUUUGCCUCUUCCCUUGUUGGAUUUCAUUGUGAAAAUUGUGAAAAGGAUGAAAAGGUAAGAGAUUAUUACUACGGUAAUAGUGAAGAUGGAAACUGACCCAGCAAAGAUAAAUACCAUCAAUUCAUUGAUAUAAGUGUCAACACAGGAGAGUCUGAACAAUGGAAUAAGAUCACAAAAAAAGUGAUUAAUUUGAUUAAAUCUACAGAAAGCUAACCUAAAGAGAAAGCCUGUAUGAAUCAUGGGAUGCACGUUUCCAGCUAUGUAGGCCCCUGUGGUCAUCUGAAGGCAGAGUUUCUUGGACAUCCAGGUGUGGUACUGCAGUGGGUUGCAGAUGGCCACAUAGCGAUCAUAGGCCAUUGCUGCCAGGAGAAAGCAGUCUGCAGUUUCAGCAAAGCAGAGAAAAUAAAAUUGUGCCAUGCAUUCAUAGAGGGAAAUGAUUCUGUCCUUGGAAAAGAAGUUCUGUAGCAUCUUGGGGAUGAUGGCACUGGAACAACAGGAAUCCAUCAGAGCGAGGUUACCCAGAAAGAUGUACAUUGGUGUGUGAAGACGAUGCUCUGUACAUAUCAGUGCCACCAGACCAAGGUUUCCACCAUGGUGAUCAGGUAGAUGGUAAGGAACACCAGAAACAGGAUGAUCCUCACUCUGGGUGAUUACUAAAUCCUAUGAGGAUAAAUUCAGUUGUCAAGGAGUUGUUAUCCUCAGUCAUAUCCGCCUUCUUUGUUGACAUGGGAAUUGUGGAGAUAAAGGUUUUGAAAUUAGAGUGUGUAUAAUUUUCCCUUCCAGGUUUUCUUUUAAUGAGGAGUGGAGCUCUUCUUCAUAUUUCUCCCAUUUCCUCUGGUAUACAGGAACACACACCUAUAGGGGAUAUUUGUUUCUGUGUAAUAUAAGUUUUAAGAUCUUGACUCUGAAGCUCAGGAUUCCCAGAAAUGUUUGUUAAUUCUAGGGAUGAUGCUUACAGUGGAAAUGACUUGUCCUUAUGAAUUUAUGGAGAAUGCUAUACAUAUUUAUGGGACCCAUAUUUGACUCAGUAUUCCCCAGUGAUGUGUUUCAGUUUUUCUAUUAGAGUACCUUAAAAUAAAUAUCGUCACUUUUUGUGUGUAUAUAUACAUAUGUACACAUAUAUAUAUACACAUUUUUUAAUGGAGCAACAUUUUAUAUAUUUUCCCAGGAGAGUGAAGGUUUUAAUGGAGUAGAUGGAUAGGUUAAAUUUAUAUCUUAGGAAUUGCAUGGAAAUCACUAAGGAUAAAGUGUGGACUGUUGAUUUUUGAAGACAAUUACUUUGGAAUGCUAAUAAAAUAUAUUGCCUCAGGUUAUCACUUCUUUGAUUUCUUUUCCCAGUUUCAUGUUAAAUCCGUUAUUGUUUUUGAAUAUGCACAGAUACCUAAAUCCUUUCCUCUAUGCAAAUCAUAUUUUUAUAUAAUGAUACCUAAUAACAUUUACUCAGUGCCCCAGACUACACCAAUAUCUAGGCUUUGAAGUAUCUAGUGUAUCAUAUACACCCAACACAAUCUAGAAUCACUUGUGUGCAAUCUAACAUUGAUUUUCCUCUUACAUGCAUGCACAAUUUCCUUUUUAUAGUAUUGGUAUAAUGAGGUUUUCUGUGAACUCUACUUCUUAUAACAGGUGUACAAUGCUAGAGAGGGAAAAAAGAAUGAUUGAUGCCAAUCAUACCUCUAGUCCAGUGACCUGGGAUGAGUGAAUUUGUUUUCAGUAUGCCACCAAUGAUCCAUCAUGAACUAUUUGCUAUAUGUAAAUUGAGACAAUUUUGAAGAACAGUUUACUAAGGAAAUUAUUCAAAAUUCAUUAUUAAAAAAAUCUGUAUAUCUUUCUUUUACCUGAAUUAACGUACCUAAUAUUUUCCAUUUCCUAAAAAUAUUAUGUUAGAUUUUCUGAUGUCACAGUACAAUAAAAGCUAAUAAAUAAAAGUCAUGCCAUUAUACUUUGUUUUCUAUCACUUUGAAAUAGAGAAUCCCCUUAAACCUUAAUAUGAUUUGUGAGAAUAAUUUUUGUUUUCUUUUCAAAGUGUAUCUUCUUACUACAAGUUACUGAUCUACAAAAUAUAUUGAGUGUCUAAGAACAUGAAUUUUAUGGUCAAACUGGUUUAUAUCUAUUUCAAAAUAUAAGCAAAGACUUAUUUUUUGUUUUAAAACAUUAAAUAUUGACAUUUUAUUAUUCAAAUAUCUUUUGAUGUGCAUGCCUAAAUUAUGUAAGAGAAUUAUGUUCUGGAGUUCCCGUUGCGUUGCAGUGGUUGACAAAUCCAACUAGGAACCAUGAGGUUGCAGGUUUGACCCCUGGCCUUGAUCAGUGGGUUAAGGACCCAGCGUUGCUGUGAGCUGUGGUGUAGGUCACAGAUGCGGCUGGAAUCCCGCAUUGCUGUGGCUGUGGUGUAGGCUGGCAGCUACAGCUCUGAUUAGACCUCUGGCCUGGGAACCUCCAUAUGC